ACGUUACUUUUUCGGCGUUUCGCCCAGCCCUAUUUGAGCUAAAAUGAUUAAUGAAGAUUUUCGAAUGGGAACACUGAUGUGAACUGUCAAAGUUGAAAAAUGUUCAUUGAAUAAGCAUGACGGCGCUCGGGAUUCCAAGAACAGCAACUCAUAACACCUACGUCUGCCGACUCAACUUCCCGGGCUUCCAUCAGCGGACCAUGACCGGACACGGCUGGGGCAGGUCAGCUGCGGAGAACACCCCUAGGUUUUUACCCCCCAUGUCCGAGACUUGAUAGGAGCUGGACCCUCUUUUGGCCGUGAUGAUGACCGGAACAUACUGUGGCCCCAACUUGGAGCAGAAAGCCGCCCCUGCUGACGACUGCUUGAAGGACCUUUUAUAGACGCGCUGGCCAACGUCGAAAGUGGGCGCGUAUCUUUUAUGACCAGCAUGCGCAAAGACCUUUCUUGCUGCUUUCUCUGAGGCGAUAGCGACACGUUCCGAAUACGCAGCUCGUAUUCUAGCUCAUCUACGGUUAGAUGUGCUACAUUCAUACCAUAGUACUGUAAGGUUAGGUGUGACAUCUCCAUUUUGUGUGAUGCAACAAUAAAAUGAACUGAGUUAAAAUCUAGGUAUAAAUUAUGAUACAGACUUUGAUUAACAAA